rnacentral:rRNA from 1 species
UUCCGGUUGAUCCUGCCGGACCCCACUGCUAUCGGGAUGGGACUAAGACAUGCUAGUUACGCGCCUUUCAGCUAUGUGGGAGGUGCAGCGUACAGCUCAGUAACACGUGGCUAACCUGCCCUUGGGACGAGAAUAACCCCGGGAAACUGGGGCUAAUUCACGAUAGGUGACGAACUCUGGAAUGAGUCGUUGCCUAAAAGGUGUCGGAUCAUGCUUUCGGCAUCGCCCAAGGAUGGGGCCGCGUCCGAUCAGGUUGUUGGUGAGGUAAUGGCUCACCAAGCCUUUAACCGGUGCGGGCCGUGAGAGCGGGAGCCCGGAGAUGGGCACUGAGACAAGGGCCCAGGUCCUACGGGGCGCAGCASUCGCGAAAACUUUGCAAUACACGAAAGUGUGACAGGGUCAUCCCGAGUGCCGACCGCUGAGGUUGGCUUUUACCCAGUCUAGAAAGCUGGGGGAAUAAGGAGAGGGCAAGUCUGGUGUCAGCCGCCGCGGUAAUACCAGCUCUCCGAGUGGUGUGGACGUUUAUUGGGCCUAAAGCAUCCGUAGCUGGCUGGGCAAGUCCCCUGUUAAAUCCACCGAUUUAAUCGUUGGUGUGCGGGGGAUACUGCUCGGCUAGGGGACGAGAGAGGCAAGCGGUAUUCCCGGGGUURGGGUGAAAUCCUAUAAUCCCGAGAAGACCACCAGUAGCGAAGGCUGCUUGCUAGAACGCGCCCGACGGUGAGGGAUGAAAGCUGGGGGAGCGAACCGGAUUAGAUACCCGGGUAGUCCCAGCUGUAAACGAUGCAGACUAGGUGUUUGGACGGCCACGUGCCGUUCUAGUGCCGCAGGGAAGCUGUUAAGUCUGCCGCCUGGGGAGUACGAUCGCAAGAUUGAAACUUAAAGGAAUUGGCGGGGGAGCACCACAAGGGGUGAAGCUUGCGGUUUAAUUGGAGUCAACGCCGGG